AUAUAAACCGUGCACCACCAUUGAUUUGAGUGCAUUAACUCACACUUCAUGAGCAGGCACUGCCGUCAUCUCAUUUUAUAGAUGAGGAAACUGAGGCACAGAAAGGCUGAGAGACCUGGCCUAGUGACAGAGCCAGGAUUCAAAGCCAUAGAUCAUGGUCCUGGGUUAUGUAGGUUAUUACUGCAUCUGUUCAGGGGAGAUGGGGUACUGUGAGGCUCGUCAUGGGAAGCCUGGCUUGGUCUCAGGUCAGGGAAGGCAGAUGUGAGGAAAUGACAUUUAUGGUAAAGUCUGAGGG
rnacentral:lncRNA from 10 species